rnacentral:rRNA from 1 species
AGGAUGAACGCUAGCGGCAGGCUUAACACAUGCAAGUCGAGGGGUAUGGUAGCAAUACCAGAGACCGGCAAACGGGUGCGGAACACGUACAGAAUCUACCUUAAUCUGGGGCAUAGCCCGGAGAAAUCCGGAUUAACUCCCCAUAAUAUAACAUGGUGGCAUCACCGAGUUAUUAAAAAUUUAUUGGAUUGAGAUGACUGUGCGUCCCAUUAGCUAGUUGGUAGGGUAACGGCCUACCAAGGCGACGAUGGGUAGCUGGUGUGAGAGCACGACCAGCCACACGGGCACUGAGACACGGGCCCGACUCCUACGGGAGGCAGCAGUGGGGAAUAUUGCGCAAUGGGCGGAAGCCUGACGCAGCGACGCCGCGUGCGGGAUGAAGGCCUUCGGGUUGUAAACCGCUUUCACCAGGGGCGAAGCGAGAGUGACGGUACCUGGGGAAGAAGCGCCGGCUAACUACGUGCCAGCAGGCCGC